rnacentral:rRNA from 1 species
ACGGAAGGCAGCAGUGGGGAAUAUUGCACAAUGGGCGAAAGCCUGAUGCAGCGACGCCGCGUGAGCGAAGAAGUAUCUCGGUAUGUAAAGCUCUAUCAGCAGGGAAGAAAAUGACGGUACCUGACUAAGAAGCCCCGGCUAACUACGUGCCAGCAGCCGCGGUAAUACGUAGGGGGCAAGCGUUAUCCGGAUUUACUGGGUGUAAAGGGAGCGUAGACGGAGAGGCAAGUCUGAUGUGAAAGCCCGGGGCUCAACCCCGGGACUGCAUUGGAAACUGUUUAUCUAGAGUGCCGGAGGGGUAAGUGGAAUUCCUAGUGUAGCGGUGAAAUGCGUAGAUAUUAGGAGGAACACCAGUGGCGAAGGCGGCUUACUGGACGGUAACUGACGUUGAGGCUCGAAAGCGUGGGGAGCAAACAGGAUUAGAUACCCUGGUA